UCGUAUGGUGACAAGUCUCGUUAAUUCAGUAAAACGAGCGCGACCUUAGUUGCAUAGGGGGCGUCAGCUUAGUUCUGUCACCCCCCAUCCGCCCCUCUCUGUGGGGCGGUGGAAUUGCAAGACAUUCGGUGUAAGGCAACACGCCUGUAAUCGUAAGGAGGAGUAAGGCGAGAAUA
rnacentral:rRNA from 1 species